GGGGGGUAAUUAAUAAUUUAAUUAUUAAUAAAAGAAUUUUUAAUAUGGGAUAUUUUAAUGGGGGUUAAAGUAUUUUUAUGGAAAAAAUUGAAAAGUUUAUAGUUUAUUUGUAUUGUGGGGGAAUUUUGAAAUAAUAUGAAAAAGAAUUAUUUUAAAAGUAAAUUUUAAUUAUUGUAUCUUGUGUAUCAGAGUUUAUUAAAAAUAGUUUAUUUAUUUAAAUAUCUCGAAUUUAAAAGAGUUAAUUAAUUAAUAAUAGUUAUUGUGGUAUAAAUAUUUUUAAUAAUUAAUUAGAAGUGAAAUGUUAUUCGUUUUUAAAUAUAUCUAGUUUUUAUAGAAAAAAAUUUAAUUUUUUAUUAAUAAAAAUUUUUAUUAAUUUAUAAUUAAUAAAAAUUAUUUUUAAUAAAAUAAUUUAAGGGAUAAUCUUUAAAUUAAAUUUUUAUAAUAAUUUUAAGUUUAAAUUAAAAUUUAUAUAAUUUAUAUUUUUAAUAAAUUUUAAUUUGUUAUAAAUAAUUUUGUUUAAAAUAAAAAUUUAAUUUUUAUUUAAUUUUUUAUAUAAAAAUAAAUUUCAAUAAAAAAAAUUAAAUUAUAAUGAUAAAAUUAGUAAAAUUUAUUUAUUGUGUAAAAAUUUAAUUUAAAAUUUUAAUUAUUUAAAAGGAAUUCGGCAAAAUUUUAUAUUCACUUGUUUAUCAAAAACAUGUCUUUUUGUUAAUAAUUUAAAGUCUAAUCUGCCCACUGAUUUUGGGAUUGAAGGGCUGCAGUAUUUUGACUGUACAAAGGUAGCAUAAUCAUUAGUCUUUUAAUUGAUGACUUGUAUGAAGGAUUGGAUGAAAUAUAUACUGUCUCUUAAAUAAUAGUAAAAUUGAAUUUAAUUUUUUAAUUAAAAAGUUAAAAUUUAUUAAAAAGACGAGAAGACCCUAUAGAGUUUUAUAUUUUAUUUUAUUAAAAUUUUUUUUUUAAGAUUUUAAAUAAUUAUAGAUUAUUUUAUUGGGGUGAUGAAAAAAUUUAAUUAACUUUUUUUAAUUUAUACCAUAGAUAAGUGAUUUAAUGAUCCAAUUUUAUUGAUUAUAAGAAAAAAUUACCUUAGGGAUAACAGCGUAAUUUUUUUUUUUAGUUCGAAUAAAAAAAAAAGUUUGCGACCUCGAUGUUGGAUUAAGAUAAAAGUUAAAUGUAGACGUUUAAAUUUUUGAUCUGUUCGAUCAUUAAAAUCUUACAUGAUCUGAGUUCAAACCGGUGUAAGCCAGGUUGGUUUCUAUCUUUUAAUAUUAAAAAUAUUUUAGUACGAAAGGAUUAAAUAUUACAAUUAUAUUGAAAUUAAUGAAUAUUAUUAAGGUUUAUUUAAAUUAUUUAUUUUAUAGGUGUG
rnacentral:rRNA from 1 species